rnacentral:lncRNA from 1 species
UGGGCUCAAUGUGGACUGAAUCUCGAGGCGUCAAAUCCUAACACCAUGCAUCUUUAAUAACCCAUUUAGAUAUUCUCUCUCUCUCUCUAGCAUUCCAUUAUUAAGUCAUUUGUUUUUUUUCUUUUGAUAAGAUGGUUCAUUCAAAUAAUUUUUAUGUGAAUAUAACUAAGAGAGUCAAAAAAUAAAAAAUCAUACAAUUUCCUAAGAAAGCCUCCAACCUCAGUCGACA